CAAAUGCCACCUUAAGCAAAAAUACAAAUAAUUUGUGUCCAUGUCAGCCAACUGAAAAGCUGCAGCAUCUUCUGAGAUAAUUAUAGCAGCUAAACACGUCAGAGGUUAAAACUACUAUCCAAGGAAAAGUCAAGUGUGUGCUGCUUGGUUUCUCUUGCAUUAAUCUGGCACAGCAUGAGAUACAGUUAUCUAUAGAUUUGAUUCAAACCUAAGAAUAAUAAGAUUUGCUCAAAAUUUUCCUUGUGUGACAGUACACGAGUAAUCUUAU
rnacentral:misc_RNA from 1 species